rnacentral:rRNA from 1 species
UCGGGAAUUUUGGGCAAUGGGGGCAACCCUGAUCCAGCAAUGCCGCGUGAGUGAAGAAGGCCUUCGGGUUGUAAAGCUCUUUUGUCAGGGAAGAAACGGUAGUAGCGAAUAACUAUUACUAAUGACGGUACCUGAAGAAUAAGCACCGGCUAACUACGUGCCAGCAGCCGCGGUAAUACGUAGGGUGCAAGCGUUAAUCGGAAUUACUGGGCGUAAAGCGUGCGCAGGCGGUUGUGUAAGUCAGAUGUGAAAUCCCCGGGCUCAACCUGGGAAUUGCAUUUGAGACUGCACGGCUAGAGUGUGUCAGAGGGGGGUAGAAUUCCACGUGUAGCAGUGAAAUGCGUAGAUAUGUGGAGGAAUACCGAUGGCGAAGGCAGCCCCCUGGGAUAACACUGACGCUCAUGCACGAAAGCGUGGGGAGCAAACAGGAUUAGAUACCCCAGUAGUCCCUGAGCGGGCUGGCAAGGCGCAU